rnacentral:rRNA from 1 species
GAUGAACGCUGGCGGCGUGCCUAAUACAUGCAGGUCGAGCGAACAGAUGAGGAGCUUGCUCCUCUGACGUUAGCGGCGGACGGGUGAGUAACACGUGGAUCACCUACCUAUAAGACUGGGAUAACUUCGGGAAACCGGAGCUAAUCCCGGAUAAUCUCUUGCACCGCAUGGUUCAUUGGUGAAAUACGGUUUUGCUGUCACGUCUAGAUGGUUCCGCGCCGCUUUGGCUAGUUGGUAAGGUAACGGCUUACCACGGCGACUAUGCGUAGCCGACCUGAGAGGGGGAUAGGCCACACUGGAACUUGGACAGGGUCCAGACGCCUACGGGAGGAAGCAGUAGGGAAUCUUCCGCAAUGGGCGAAAGCCUGACGGAGCAACGGCGCGCGAGUUAUGAAGGUCUUCGGAUCGUAAAGCUGGGUUACUAGGGAAGAACAAAUUUCGAAUUAACUAUGCACGUCUUGACGGUACCGAAUCAGAAAGCCACGGCUAACUACGUG